UCUGCCUACCAAGCUGUGGGUGAUUCUGCAAGCUUUAACCCCUCCCUAAAGGGAAAGCUUCUGGAAAUCCUGAUGGACCUGAUGAAGAAGUAUUACUCGGGCAUCCCUGUCUCCCCAGUGCCUCUCAAGGUGGUUCUGGCCCUGGAGCAGUUGAGCAAGCUGAAGCCCUCUUCUGAAAGCAAGGACCUGCGUGAGAUGUUGGUCCUGUGCUGCAAAAACAUCGUGACACACCCUUCAGCAGAGAUGAUGCUGAAGAUCAGGAAGUCACAGCAAGCAGCACAGUAC